UGCAGUCGAGCGGACAGAUGGGAGCUUGCUCCCUGAUGUUAGCGGCGGACGGGUGAGUAACACGUGGGUAACCUGCCUGUAAGACUGGGAUAACUCCGGGAAACCGGGGCUAAUACCGGAUGGUUGUUUGAACCGCAUGGUUCAGACAUAAAAGGUGGCUUCGGCUACCACUUACAGAUGGACCCGCGGCGCAUUAGCUAGUUGGUGAGGUAACGGCUCACCAAGGCGACGAUGCGUAGCCGACCUGAGAGGGUGAUCGGCCACACUGGGACUGAGACACGGCCCAGACUCCUACGGGAGGCAGCAGUAGGGAAUCUUCCGCAAUGGACGAAAGUCUGACGGAGCAACGCCGCGUGAGUGAUGAAGGUUUUCGGAUCGUAAAGCUCUGUUGUUAGGGAAGAACAAGUGCCGUUCAAAUAGGGCGGCACCUUGACGGUACCUAACCAGAAAGCCACGGCUAACUACGUGCCAGCAGCCGCGGUAAUACGUAGGUGGCAAGCGUUGUCCGGAAUUAUUGGGCGUAAAGGGCUCGCAGGCGGUUUCUUAAGUCUGAUGUGAAAGCCCCCGGCUCAACCGGGGAGGGUCAUUGGAAAACUGGGGAACUUGAGUGC
rnacentral:rRNA from 1 species